rnacentral:rRNA from 1 species
GACGAACGCUGGCGGCGUGCUUAACACAUGCAAGUCGAACGGAAAGGCCCUGCUUUUGUGGGGUGCUCGAGUGGCGAACGGGUGAGUAACACGUGAGUAACCUGCCCUUGACUUUGGGAUAACUUCAGGAAACUGGGGCUAAUACCGGAUAGGAGCUCCUGCUGCAUGGUGGGGGUUGGAAAGUUUCGGCGGUUGGGGAUGGACUCGCGGCUUAUCAGCUUGUUGGUGGGGUAGUGGCUUACCAAGGCUUUGACGGGUAGCCGGCCUGAGAGGGUGACCGGCCACAUUGGGACUGAGAUACGGCCCAGACUCCUACGGGAGGCAGCAGUGGGGAAUAUUGCACAAUGGGCGGAAGCCUGAUGCAGCAACGCCGCGUGCGGGAUGACGGCCUUCGGGUUGUAAACCGCUUUCGCCUGUGACUAAGCGUGAGUGACGGUAAUGGGUAAAGAAGUACCGGCUAACUACGUG